rnacentral:rRNA from 1 species
AUACGUAGGGUGCAAGCGUUAAUCGGAAUUACUGGGCGUAAAGCGUGCGCAGGCGGUUUUGUAAGACAGAGGUGUAAACCCCGGGCUCAACCUGGGGACUGCCUUUGUGACUGCAAGGCUAGAGGACGGCAGAGGGGGAUGGAAUUCCGGGGGUAGCAGGGAAAUGCGUAGAUAGGAGGAGGAACACCGAUGGCGAAGGCAAUCCCCUGGGCCUGUACUGACGCUAAUGCACGAAAGCGGGGGGAGCAAACAGGAUUGGAUACCCUGGAAGUCCACGCCCUAAACGAUGUCAACUGUUUGUUGGGUCUUCAUUGACUCAGUAACGAAGCUAACGCGUGAAGUUGACCGCCUGGGGAGUACGGCCGCAAGGUUGAAACUCAAAUGAAUUGACGGGG